UACGUAGGGCGCAAGCGUUAUCCGGAAUUAUUGGGCGUAAAGAGCUCGUAGGCGGCUUGUCGCGUCGAAUGUGAAAACCCACAGCUCAACUGUGGGCUUGCAUUCGAUACGGGCAGGCUCGAGUUCGGUAGGGAGACUGAAUUCCUGGUGUAGCGGUGAAAUGCGUAGAUAUCGUAAGGAAGACCAGUGGCGAAGGCGGAUCUCUGGACAGUUACUGACACUGAGCACGAAGGCCAGGGGAGCAAACGGG
rnacentral:rRNA from 1 species